rnacentral:ribozyme from 1 species
UUUUUUUUUUUUUUUUUUUUUUUCCAUCGGCUGGUUCGGGAGUCGGUUUUUGCCCGAGUCUUAAAAACACCUGGGGGGC